ACGACUAUAUUUGUACUCUUUUCUCACCCAACCCUCCCCAUAUCCCAGGCUUACCUGUGCAUACCACAAUAGCCUUUCUUCUGCUGUAUCUUUCAUAAUACACUGGAGUUUGCUAGCCAAAGUGGGAUGCAGGGAGAAGUAGCAUCAGCACCCCCAACUGCUUGCUAGAAAUGCCAGUUCCCGAACCUCACUCCAGAUCGGCUGAAUCAGAACUGCACUUCAACAAGGAACACAUAGGAGUUUUAGACAUGUUAAACUUGAAGUAGCAUGUGCUGCAGUAUUGCAGUUACACAGAGGAGUUCUAGACAUGUUAAACUUGAAGUUGCACCACACUGCAGUAUUGCAGUUCCCUCCAUGCUGACACUCCGGUCAUAGCUUUACACAUUGUCAGCUCAUGCACUGGAGAUCAGGUCGUAGCUUUACACAUUGUCAGCUCAUGCACUGGAGAUCAGGUCAUAGCUUUACACAUUGUCAGCUCAUGCACUGGAGAUAAGGUCAUAGCUUUACACAUUGUCAGCUCAUGCACUGGAGAUAAGGUCAUAGCUUUAAACAUUGUCAGCUCAUGCACUGGAGAUCAGGUCAUAGCUUUAAACAUUGUCAGCUCAUGCACUGGAGAUCCGGUCAUAGCUUUAAACAUUGUCAGCUCAUGCACUGGAGAUCAGGUCAUAGCUUUAAACAUUGUCAGCUCAUGCACUGGAGAUCAGGUCAUAGCUUUACACAUUGUCAGCUCAUGCACUGGAGAUCCAGUCAUAGCUUUAAACAUUGUCAGCUCAUGCACUGGAGAUUUUUUUUCCUCCCUGCAUUGAAAUCAUUCCUAACUCAAUGAUACUCCAAGUGUGAUCUGAACUAUGACAUUUGGGGCUCAAAGGCCUUUCAGAUGAUCUGAUCUGUGCUAUGUCCAUUUUCACCUACCCUGGGAAACCAAGUUUUCAUUAUAUACUUCAAAAUGUCACAACUGACAUCAUAAAAGCAGAUAUAAGAAUAUCACUGCCUCUUAUCCAAGCAUGACAUACUAACUUUCAAACAUGAAAAUGUGCAUUGUCUGUCUUUAUCUGUACAGAUGUACCCAUGAUGGCCAUAACUUCUAGAAAAUGUGUGAUUACUGAAUCAGUCUUUACUGAACUCAAAGCAGUUCCCCAUUGAAAACCUGAAUAAGUAUCCAUGGUGUGAUGUACAUAUUUUAGUUUUCCAAAUUCUACAAAAUGGAGCACAUCCAUCUGCCAGAUUUCAUUCCUUUGAGUACUCUUUGGGUUACUUCCUGAAGGUAGUGGUAUUUGGUUGUAUAAAGAACCAGUAGGACAUCUCCUUAUAAUUUCCUUGGCUUGUUGCCACAUGAUGGAAAAAUCUUUUUUUUUUAACCUUUGCUAUUGGCAUGAUGUUUUUAAUGAAAUUCUGAGGGCUUCAGCAAUUUCCAAUCAAUAAUUGAUCGAUUUCUGCAUUACUUUGUGCUAGAGGACCUUGCAGACCUGUGUGGGAUUGGAUGUGUGUUAUAUAUAUGGAAUGACUCCUAUUCCUGAUUGUAUCUUGUAACUGAAUAAAUAAUAAAGUCAAUUCUGUAUUAUCUGGUAUAAAUUCAGAGAUUUCAAUAUGCAAAACAACUCUUUCUACAUAUUGUGAAUUAGUAACUAUGUUGAGAGAUUCUUUAGAAUCCUCUAGUACCAUGAGAAUAGCAUAUAAUUCUGACUUUUGGACAAAAUCGUAAGGACUUUGAUCCACUUAUUAAAUUUUCUGUUUUGUAACCUGCCUUUUCUGAGUUUAUUUGCAUCAGUAUAGAAUGUAGGGGCUUGAGCUAUUGAUGUGUCCUGUACAAUGUGAGGAAGGACCCAGUUAAUUCUUUUUUGUUUCUUGUUUUUUGUUUUUAGAGACAGGGUUUCUCUAUGGUUUUGGAGCCUGUCCUGGAA